GUAAAGCUAGUUUUAGAAAAUGUGAUAGCAGUAUAUUUGUACUUGAAUAAAUAAUAAGGAAAUCUCAAUUAUAAAAAGAUAUUGAUGCAGUCAUAUUUUUGCCUUUUGAUACCCAUCGUAGGUUCAGUAGCCAGGUGAUGAGGAACGAAGCCCGACAUAUCUGGG